UGGUGGGGUAAGAGCCUACCAAGGCGACGACGGUUAGCCAGCGUGAGAGCGUGGCCGGCCACAAGGACACUGAGAUACGGGUCCUACUCCUACGGGAGGCAGCAGUGCGGAAUUUUAGAUAAUGGAGGCAACUCUGAUCUAGCGACGCCGCGUGCAGGAAGAAGGUCUUCGGAUUGUAAACUGCUGUGGUAAGGGAAAAAUGUCAUGUAGAGUGGAAAGCUACAUGGAGGGAUGGUACCUUACUAGAAAGCCCCGGCUAACUACGUGCCAGCAGCCGCGGUAAUACGUAGGGGGCGAGCGUUACCCGGAAUCACUGGGCGUAAAGGGAGCGUAGGUGGCCUGACAUGUCAACUGUGAAAACCCGGAGCUCAACUCCGGACUUGCAGUUGAAACUGCCAGGCUUGAGGACGGUAGAGGAAGACGGAACUGCCAGUGUAGGGGUAAAAUCCUUAGAUAUUGGCAGGAACGCCGGUGACGAAGGUGGUUUUCUGGGCCGGUUCUGACACUGAUGCUCGAAAGCCAGGGGAGCGAACGGGAUUAGAU
rnacentral:rRNA from 1 species